rnacentral:tmRNA from 2 species
GGGGUUGUUUAGACUCGACAGGGCGUACUUUCAAAAUAUGCAAGCCGAUCUCGAUGGUAUGAUCGUAAAACUCGCCAUCACGAUGAUAAAUGCAAACUUCAUCACAAAGGCAAAGAACGCAUUCGCGCAAGCGUUUGCCCCUUCUUUCGCUCUUGCUCUCGCCUAAUUUUUAGCGCGUAGCCAUCGGAAUCCCGAUUCUCGGUAGGGAACCUCCGGUGUCAUAUAAUCGAGACGACGCGAGGAUAUUUCUUUUUCUUUCCGCCUCAAGCCGUAUUGCAAAAGAAAAAAAUGCCAGAGUUUUUUGUCUGCUUUCUACCUCUGACAUUUACACAAAGCACUCUAAGCUUGUAGAAUAUUUUGGAAAAACGUUUCUGGACAUGGGUGCAAUUCCCAUCAACUCCACAC